GUUGAGCAACUGCUUCUCCGUUCUCUAUCUGUUGAUACUACUUUCGCGAAAGGACGCUUUAUUAAUUGUGUUGUGUGUACGUGUUUUAUUGAAAAUGACGAGUUUGCAAUGCAUCAAUUGCUAUGUUCGCUUGUCCCGAAGAAGAAGACACGCUUUAUCCAAUGACGGUGAAGAUAUCGUCAACACUAUUCGUCUGUGGACAUAUCUUAGAGAUGUAAGUAGUUUCCACAUAACAUUGUGUGUACGAAUGGGCCAUAGUUACGAACUUCAAUAACUUUUACGUGUGAUAUCACACUAAAUAAACGCAUAAGUAAUCGGUAACAUGUAUUAUUUACUUGCCUUACUUGGUUUGCAUAACACUGUUAUAAUUUAUUAGUACCUAUUAUUUUGUUUAAUGGUGAGCCAUACUCAAAAUCAUUUAAUUAUUUCUAGAUUACACCAGAUGACCAUGUUUACCAUGAAUGCUGGCAGCUAGCUAGUCAUUCAUGUUCUUCUGAUAAUUUACGAGAAGACACAUAGGACAUCAGUGUUUGUGUUGUAUGUGGACAAUCCAUACUAAGAAUCAGGCAAUGCAGAAUUUUGAUUGAAGAAGAACAAAGAACGGCUUACACAAUGGCUACUUGGAUCUAACCACAACAGCUUCAUCCUAAAGAUAAAGCUUGUGUGCGGUGUUGGUUAAGAGUGAGAACUAAGGAUACUUCACUAAAUGAAGAUAUUCAAUCCGUUGAACCUAUUAUCAGCAGGAAAGUGAUAAUUCUGAACUGAUGUGUGCUGCAUGUGGUCAAAGUCUUACUCCCGACAACACUGCUUGUUUGUUGGAGCACCAGCAGACACCUUCGAUGAAUGAAGUUUGUGAAGUUUGCUGGGGCCAAGUAUGCAAUUUGAGCUUCUAUGUUCCAGAUGGUCUAUGUUGCUUCAAGCUAAAAUAAAGCCCUGCCACUCCUCUCCUAGAACUUAUUUUGUUUUCAUAGUUGCAGAAACAAAUAUGAGUAGCCGGGACACAAUCAAAAGUUAUUGCUGUAAUUGUAUUGUAGGUUUAAGAACAGUGGGAUGCUGCUCACAUAUUAUGAGCAUUCUUUGGCAUUUGAGUUAUGCUUGCUAUGAGGGUAUGACCCGACCUGCCCCUUUCUUCGAUGAAGUAAUAUUAAGAACCAAUCAAGUAAUUAUAGGAAAAUAAAGUAAAUGUAUUUCUACAAAAACUAUGUUGUUUUAUUUACCUACACUCAAAACUUCAUCAGCACUUAAUCAUUAUCAAACUAUUGUAGACUGCUGCUGGACAUAGGUCACUCCUUAAGCACCCUACUGAAUGGGUAAAUUCUCAUGUCAAUUUAUCAACUUCCUACAUUCUUUUUCACUUAAACAAUGUUUAUGUGCUUAGUGCUUAUACGUGAUAAAGAACAAAGAGUAAUGUUGGGACCACCUCUCAAUAGUAAUGAGACACCCUUCUAUCUAUAGAUAAAUAUUCUCAAACUGAAUAAACUUACUAAAGUACUACAAUUAAGGUCAAAAGUCGGGUUUCGGAGUUAUACUAGGUAAGUAUCUUUUUUAUGCAAUAAGUUGGUAAACGAGCAGACGGAUCAUCUGAUGGUAAGCAAUCGCCGCCGCCCAUGUGCACCUGAGGCGUUAGAAGUGCGUUGCCGGCCUUUUGGGGGUUCGGAAUUUAAGGGUUGUUAGGGAAGGGGUAAUUGCGCCUCCGGUAACCUCACUCACUCAACGAAAUACAACGCCAAUGCGAAACAAACUCUAGACAAUGAUGAUAGUAGCUUACUUUAUUAUAAGAUAAAUGUUCCAUAAGUCAUUUCUUAUCUUCCUACUCUUUCUCCUUCCGAAACACGAAGGAGACUUGCUAUGAUGG